rnacentral:snoRNA from 1 species
ACGACCUUACUUGAACAGGAUCUGUUCUAUAGGCUCGUACCUCUGUAUUCUUGAUUCCUAAGAAGACAGAAACCCAUGUCUGGUUGAUGAGCCAGGACCAUGUAACCAGAGCGUGAUCAACAGAGCCCAUGGUCCUGACCAUGGCUCCGUAGAGGAUCGUUGCCAGUCCAUCUUCUUGGGCUUGACAUGGUUACAUGGUUGUCUGACAGAUA